AAGCACUUUGGGGAGCCAAAGAUUCAAGAAAUGCCAUAGAUUUAUGCAUUUGAAUCAGGGCAUUGGGCAAAUGCUUAGAGGAAAGACAAAAAACAGGUGGUUAUUCCUUUUCCUGAGAAGAAAAAUAUAUAUGUAGGCAGAAAACUGAAGAUACAUGAUGAAGCACUGGAGCAACCUGAUCAUUCUACCCCUGGUUGGUCUAUUCUUGAAAGUAUGCGAAUCAACAUCUGUACUUGAUUCCAGGCCCAAUGUGCUAUUGAUAAUGGCUGAUGAUCUGGGGAUUGGUGACCUUGGUUGCUUUGGCAAUUUUACA